CACGUAGGGCGCAAGCGUUGUCCGGAAUUAUUGGGCGUAAAGAGCUCGUAGGUGGUUUGUUACGUCUGCUGUGAAAACCUAGGGCUUAACCCUGGGCUUGCAGUGGAUACGGGCAGACUAGAGGUAGGUAGGGGAGAAUGGAAUUCCUAGUGUAGCGGUGAAAUGCGCAGAUAUCAGGAAGAACACCCGUGGCGAAAGCGGCUCUCUGGAACGGUACUGACGCUGAGACGCGAAAGCCAGGGGAGCGAACGGG
rnacentral:rRNA from 1 species